rnacentral:lncRNA from 15 species
ACAAACACAUUUAGUGUUUGCAUAUAUAGCUUGACUGAACCAGUAUAUAGUGUAACUAUUUAACAUUGGUUUUAUAAGUACAGUAUGUAUUUUAAGUUCACUUAUUUCUGUUGUAAUUGAUCUUUCCUUGUAGGUUCAAGUGGAAGCACCAAGUUUCCUCGAGCUUCAAAAACAUCUCGGUGUUUGCUGAGUUCCAUCGCAUUACAAAUGUGAACCUACGUAAUCAGUUCUAUUGUGAGGUUGACAGAUACACACCUCAACUGAUUGCCCUGUACAGAGAGACGGACAGGCAAGACAGCAGAUGCACUCCGAGAGAUCUUCAGGAUUUAUGACCACCAUGAACAACAGGAUGUAAACAUGAUACGCAGUCUGGCCCUUCGUGCCCUUCUCUGAGUUCUUCAAGACCUGGAAUGCAUUAUCUCCGUGAUCGAUUAUUCUGGGCUUUCGGUGAAGCGAGCGAUGGAAAAACAGGGGUCUCCAUGGCGACGGCGAGUCGCAUUGUUUACACCCACGACCAGACUGGAGAGAGACCCUCCAUACCGGAGGAGCUGAGGAGGAGACGGCGAGGCUGCAGAGCGGGGGUUAAACGGAGGAUGAAGAAGAGGAGGUUUAAACCCUACAAACGUGGCUACACGAGCAGAUACCGGACUCCAAUGUCACCAUUCCCGGCUUCCAGACGGUUCGAGCCGACAGGGACACCACCGCGACCGGCAUGAAGAAAGGAGGGGGACUGUCCGUGCUCAUAAACAACAGGUGGUGUAACACCGGGCACGUCUGUGUGAAAGCCUGGACAUCGAGCUUGUCGCUGUCGGAAUUCGUCCGUGUUGUCUGCCACGGUGGCUUUCCAGUGUUGUCGCCAUCACUGUCUAUGUUCCUCACAGUGGUCUUCAUCAUCACCAUCACUGUUUACAUUUAUGAUGUCUUAUUUAUUCUCCUGUACAGCACUUUGGUCAACUUUGGUUGUUUUUGAAGUGCUUAAAUAAAGUUGGAUUGGAUUGGAUUGGAUCAGCCAUAACAUUAUGAGCACUGACAGGUGAAGUGAAUAUUACUGAUUAUCUAGUUAUCAUGGCACCUGUCAGUGGGUGGGAUAUAUUAAACCGCAAGUGAACAUUUUGUCCUCAGAGUAGAUGUGUUAGAAGCAGGAAAAAUGGGCAGCAUGAGGAUGGCUAGACAAGUGGGUCAGACCAUCUCCAAAACCACUACGUUUAAAAGUGGUCCAAGGAAGGAAAAGCGGUGAACCGGCGAUAGGGUCAUGGCCAGCCAAGGCUCAUUGAUGAACAUGGGGAGCGAAGGCUGGCCCAUGGGGUCAGAUCCAACAGACGAGCUAUGGUAGCUUAAAUUGCUGAAAAAGGUAAUGCUGUGUUUUGUCAGUUAAGGUGUCAAAACACAGGUGGUCAUAAGUUUAUGGCUGACCAGUCUAGGGGCGUUCUAUGCAGCAACUGCCUUUACAUUUUCCUUAUUUUAAUUGCAUGCAUACAUCUAAAGUGUGUCAUUGUGCUUACCAUAGCUGUAUUAUUAAUUGUAGUGCUCAGCUGUAUGUAUUGUGUGUGGAAUCAGUAGGCCUUUUGCCUUCCAACCAUCUUUUGGAGCUGCAGCUCCACUCACGUCUAGUUAUAGCAGCUGAAGGCGCAAGAGGAAAAGUCAGAGGAUCAUUAAAUCAUUUGAGGGGCCAACAGAUGCUUCAAGCAGAAGGAAUAACAAAAAAAUAACUGUUUUAGUUUUUUUCUGACUCAGCAAAUGUUUGCUUUUAUUCCUCUGAAAUACUGGAUUCUUUUACUUCUACCUCAUUAGACAUCUAAAAUGCAUUCAUAUUAAACAAGCUGAGAAGGAAAUAUCACUCUGGCUCACAUCUCGUGUCCAGUGUAGACACAAGACAUAAGUCAAAAGGGUUAGGAACAUGAAUUUGAACAGAAACCAGUGCAUUUUUGGCCACAAUAAUCACCAAAAACUCUUGAAGAUCCUAGUGGGACUGUCGCUUAUCAUUUAAUCAUCCAUGACACAAGUGUUGCCCCAAAUUUCACAGCAAUAACUAAACUGAGUCAGUAGAGCCACUGUUUUAGAGGCAGGAAAUGAGAAGUCAGGGUUCACACUUGAGUCUGGUUGAAUUUCUGGUAUGUGGCAAUCUUUAUUAACUCAAGCAGUUAAGAAUGGAAGAAUGGAUGUGUGGCUAAUGGUGGCCUAUUUAAAAGGUAAAAGGCUCAGCAUGAGAGCAGUUGAAGGUCACAGGAACACAUUGUUAAAAACCUCACCUCCAUUGCACUCCUACCUCUCUUAAAAAAUAUUAUUAUAUAAUUAUAUUAUAUUAAUUAUAACAGCCCUCAAGGUUUGACAGCCUCACAAAUUCUUGUUACAUUUUACAAAUAUGACAUUGCUAUUAAAAAGGAUCACUUUCACUAAAGUAAUGAUCAGAGGAAUGCAAGGAGGCCUGAGAUAUUGAAUCAAAUGAAGCUCAUGGAAUCCCUUUCAUUCAGGGGGUAAUCACAGCAGAGGUGAAAAAGGCAUUAUUGUGUGCCACUGUUUCUCUCAUGGUAACACUAUGCUGCAGUGGAGAGAUGAAUCCAUCUUAUCAGACUGUGUCCAAGAUAGAAAGAUGGUGUCACAUUUGACAAACUCCUCCAUCAACUCUUACACGGUUGACAUCCUGCUGAGAGAAAUCAUUAUUGCCACCACAUAACAUACAGACGAGCUCAACUCUCCACAAACACAGUCUGUUUCUGUCAGUUUACAUGAAAAUGAGAAUCCUGGUACGUAAAAGCAGCCCAGUGUUGAACCUGUACAUCUGUGUCAAUAUGGUGUUGAACAAUAGUCCUCAGUAUGUGAUGUCCUUGUAUGAUACUAGCAGGGAUUAUUCAUACAGCUCUACUGAGGUACAAUAACAGGCUGUGUGAUGUAGAGAUCAGAACAUUUCUGUUGAACUACAUGCAGCCUUGGAAGUUACAUACACAAAGACUUUCAUGUAAUUCCUGCUUUCAACAAAAGGGCUGAGUGCUGUGUGAAAAGUGGGCCAGUCAAGAGUUUAAGCACAGUUGGACUGCAUACAGACUUAUUCGACUGACUAUUGUAAAAAAAAAAAAAGAAAAAAAAGCUUUUUGACACCGAUGUUGGUUGGUCCAUUGGUCAGUUGGUUUUCGUUGUUUACACACAUAUUAGGAAUUUGACGAAUAUAUUGGUGAUGGCGGCCAGUUGGAAGAUUUUAACAUACUGGCCAACGCUACUUCAAAGAAGAUACAUUUUCCAUAACAUUUUCUAAUCCCGAGAGUACAAUUCCUAAUUAUUUUGUUGACCAUCUAACAUUUCUAUCUGCACAUCAGUGACCAACCAUGAACCAUGAAUCACAGGAAUCCAAUGAUCAGCAGGUUUGACAAAAUAUUCAGAGAGCACAGUCAUGUUUGUCUGAGGAGAAACCUGAUUUUGCAACCUUUCUUCUAGUUCCACAUUAAAGUCACCAUG